UACGUAGGGGGGCAAGCGUUGUCCGGAUUUAUUUGGGCGUAAAGAGCGUGUAGGCGGUUUGGUAGGUCCGCUGUGAAAACUCGAGGCUCAACCUCGAGACGCCGGUGGAAACCAUCAGACUAGAGUCCGGAAGAGGAGAGUGGAAUUCCUGGUGUAGCGGUGAAAUGCGCAGAUAUCAGGAAGAACACCCGUGGCUAAGGCGGCUCUCUAGUACGGUACUGACGCUGAGACGCGAAAGCGUGGGGAGCGAACAGG
rnacentral:rRNA from 1 species